rnacentral:rRNA from 1 species
GAGUUUGAUCCUGGCUCAGGAUGAACGCUAGCUACAGGCUUAACACAUGCAAGUCGAGGGGAAACGAUAUUGGAAGCUUGCUUCCGAUAGGCGUCGACCGGCGCACGGGUGAGUAACGCGUAUCCAACCUGCCCACCACUUGGGGAUAACCUUGCGAAAGUAAGACUAAUACCCAAUGACGUCUCUAGAGGACAUCUGAAAGAGAUUAAAGAUUUAUCGGUGAUGGAUGGGGAUGCGUCUGAUUAGCUUGUUGGCGGGGUAACGGCCCACCAAGGCUACGAUCAGUAGGGGUUCUGAGAGGAAGGUCCCCCACAUUGGAACUGAGACACGGUCCAAACUCCUACGGGAGGCAGCAGUGAGGAAUAUUGGUCAAUGGACGAGAGUCUGAACCAGCCAAGUAGCGUGCAGGAUGACGGCCCUAUGGGUUGUAAACUGCUUUUAUAAGGGAAUAAAGUGAGUCUCGUGAGGCUUUUUGCAUGUACCUUAUGAAUAAGGACCGGCUAAUUCCGUGCCAGCAGCCGCGGUAAUACGGAAGGUCCGGGCGUUAUCCGGAUUUAUUGGGUUUAAAGGGAGCGUAGGCCGGAGAUUAAGCGUGUUGUGAAAUGUAGAUGCUCAACAUCUGCACUGCAGCGCGAACUGGUUUCCUUGAGUACGCACAAAGUGGGCGGAAUUCGUGGUGUAGCGGUGAAAUGCUUAGAUAUCACGAAGAACUCCGAUUGCGAAGGCAGCUCACUGGAGCGCAACUGACGCUGAAGCUCGAAAGUGCGGGUAUCGAACAGGAUUAGAUACCCUGGUAGUCCGCACGGUAAACGAUGGAUGCCCGCUGUUGGUCUGAAUAGGUCAGCGGCCAAGCGAAAGCAUUAAGCAUCCCACCUGGGGAGUACGCCGGCAACG